rnacentral:rRNA from 1 species
UAAGGAAUAUUGGACAAUGGAGGCAACUCUGAUCCAGCCAUGCCGCGUGCAGGAAGAAGGCGCUAUGCGUUGUAAACUGCUUUUGUAACAGAGAAAAGCCAUCUACGAGUAGGUGGUUGAUAGUAUGUUAAGAAUAAGCAUCGGCUAACUUCGUGCCAGCAGCCGCGGUAAUACGAAGGAUGCGAGCGUUAUCCGGAUUUAUUGGGUUUAAAGGGAGCGUAGGCGGACGUAUAAGUCAGUGGUGAAAUCUCGUUGCUUAACAACGAACGUGCCAUUGAUACUGUAUGUCUAGAGUACAGAUGCCGUUGGCGGAAUGUGUCAUGUAGCGGUGAAAUGCAUAGAUAUGACACAGAACACCGAUUGCGAAGGCAGCUGACGAAACUGUAACUGACGCUGAUGCUCGAAAGCGUGGGGAUCAAACAGGAUUAGAUACCCCCGUAGUCC